GCCUUCUUGGCUCAGUUGGCAGAGCGUCUGCCUAGUAAGCAGAAGGUCGUCAGUUCGAUUCUGGCAGAAGGC
rnacentral:tRNA from 2 species